AGGCUGAGGACACGUUUUUUUCCUCUUAAAGGGCGCCACUCCCCUAUGUAAGGCAAUUUUGACAGGCUUUCAGAAAGUCAAACUGCCCUCUGCAAGCCUCAGCAAACUCGAUCUUUUGUGAGGCAUCCCAAAGUUCCCAGGUGUGACUCACAGAAUGACAAAAUCUGUACUAAAAAUGACACUGAGAGCUAGAUGAUUGAGAAUGCUCACUGAUGAUUCAGAGCAAACCAUGUGUGGCAUGGAACG